CCUCGAUCGGACUGUGCCUGUCCUUUGUGCUUUCAUGCUUCUGAUGAAAGUGCCUAGUGAACUCCUGCCGAGGUGAAAACUGUUUUAUCUAACGUAGCAUAUCUACCGUGCAAGCAGUAGAUCACUAGUAACCGCGGAAGCAUCGAAUACGAAUCGCAUUCCAGGAAUUGAAAUGGUGUAAAAUUUCAGAUAAUCCAGUCGAACUGGAGCCUCCGUAGAGGUUUCAUGGAUUUAGUUGAAGAUGGCACCACCUGAGACCUUCCAGUAGCCAAGAGUGGGGUUGAAUACUGACAUGGUGGGGUAAGCCCGGGGGCAUUGAACAAAGGUUGGCUGCGUCGCUAACCGGCAGCGCAUUCACGAUUCAAACAUGGCAGCGGCUACCAGCGUUGUCGUGCUCGACAGGGGCAACAAUACCACCUGCACGAUCAAUUUACACGGAGCCACCGUGGUGUCUUGGAGGGUGAACAAUCAGGAACAGCUGUUCGUCAGCAAGCAGGCCGUCUUCGAUGGCAAGAAGGCCAUUAGGGGAGGAAUUCCAUUUGUCUUCCCACAAUUCGGUGCGUGGACCUUUGGCCCAGGACAUGGAUUCGCACGGAUCAUCCGUUGGAACGUUGAAAAAUCACCCGAACGUCUUCCCAGUGGAGACGUCGAAGCCAUUUUUUCCAUAAUGGACAGCGAGUUCACCCGUUCCAUGUGGAAUUAUCCCUUCAGAUUAACUUACAGGCUAAUUCUUCGAGAAAAGGAGUUACACUUCAACAUUGGCGUCUAUAAUCCCAGCAAGGAUCAUACCUUCAGUUUCAAUCUUCUCCUGCACACGUAUUUUAAAGUGCCAGACGUCAGGAGAUGCCAGGUCACCGGACUACACGGAUGUACCUUUAUAGAUAAGACACGGGACAACCAAAUCUUUCAAGAGGGUCGGGACGUGGUGACGGUCUGCGAGUGGACAGACAGAAUCUACCAGAACACGCAGCCUGAGCACAUCAUCACGAACGUCGUUUCCGGUAGGAAGAUGCGCGUUCAGAAGUACAAUUUCCCCGACACCGUCGUCUGGAAUCCUUGGCAGGACAAGGCGCGCGACAUACCGGACUUUGGCGACGAUGAGUUUCCCAAUAUGAUAUGUGUGGAAAGUGGACACGUCAGUAGUCCUGUAAUUCUCGUGCCAGGAACGGCGUUCGAAGCCAGCCAGAUACUUCAGGUGAUGUGAGUAGAGGGUGGACCGUCUUCGCAUGUCACGACGAACAGCGGCUCCAACUCGUUACUCCCGGUGACGCCGACAAGACCAACGGUCUGGCCGUCCGGAGCUGGGUGGCUCUACAUGCCGCCACCUCCGCCACCUCCGCCACCUCCGCAGUCACACCCUCCGCAUCUUCAUGCACACUGCAUCGCACAAACUUGCACAAUAUGCUCCUUGAAUCUAUAAGUAGCCCGAUAUAUCGUCCGUCGUCAACUAUCCAUCAGGAAACCACGUUAUUUAUAUACUGAUGGCUCAAUUAGAAUUAGCCAAUAGCCAAUAGCCAAUAGCCAAUAGCCAAUAGCCGACCUAUUCUCGCCGUCUUCGAGCACUUCGACCUCAUGACCUACUGGUUUUUUUCUCUCUCUCCAAAAGAGAGUCCUUCCUGUCAAAGAGCCAUCCUCCUUCUGUGAGUCCUUCAUUUUCCUAUAGUGCAAUAGUUGUUCGAUUAUCGGACACAUCCGCGGAAACGGAGGGUGCAUAUAUCAAAGAUAUAUGGACAAAUUUUUUUCUCCAAAUUUUGGACUUUCAUUGUAUUUAAAAAUCGGGCCACGAUAAAAUUGACUCGUUACUAUAUUAGUGAAUGAUCCUGUCUGUAAGCACUUUCCAUUGAACAUGCGACUCGUCAAGGGCGGUCCAUACAUUCCACUCGAUUUCCAAAAUCUAUGAAAACGACAGUUUCAUGUUCCUCAUCUAUCAUUCCUGAAUUUUUGGCGUAUCUACUGAUAACUAUGGUGCGGAACCUUUCCCACGUCAGUUAUCGAAGUUUCACGAUAAAAGUUAAGCGUGUAGCAAACAGGUAUAUGCACCUACGUAGGUACGUAAGAAUGUGAUAAAUAAGUUCUCGCACUUUGAACUCGUCUUCUUGUUUUAUUCAACGAAAGCGUUAAUUAACCUACGAACAAUACAGAGAUGGUGCUAAUUUAACGAGUUACGAUUCAACUAGAUAGCGAGCUAUUGUCCUAACACGAAGUGCAUUGCACUUCCUAUUGGCACCAAUGAUGAGAAACAGAGUAGAUUAAAAAAGAAGAAAGAGAAUACGGCGGGGAAACAAUAUUACAUCAUCGAAAUAGAUUUAAGCAAUAAUUACGCCAUAAUGUACCGGUAUUAUUAUAAAAUUACGAUUGCGUGUCCGACGAUUGUAAGAAGCAUUAACUCAUCAAUUGCUAUAAAUCACAUGGAUAAGUAUACGAUAAUGGACAACAACUUUAGGAAAGUCUUUCGAUUCUGCCGCCCAUUGAUCGAGUUAGGUAACGCGACGACGCCAAUAUUCAUAUUUAAGGGAAUCGUCUAUAGGAGUAAUUUAAACUAUUCGUCCAUUUCUCCUGUACAGUUAGAAAAGCGAUAUACGAUAUUCUUCUGGUUAUGAUUAUCUUUUUUUUUUUCUUCUUCUUAAGGAGGACAAAACACUGACGUAGGAUAUAUAAGUCUAUUGGUGCUCAAUUAGAAUGGAUACGAAAAACAUUAGAGUGCCAUUAGUAUAAUUUGCUUCAUCUUGAUUUUGAAUAUUCUUCAUUUGCAUUGCAAGGUCCAGAGCCAAGAUGAAGUUUUAUCUAUGGGCAUGUGACCUUUGAUUACUUCAAAUGCCUCCUCCCACCUAGUUAGUAUAAGUGACUACCUUAGUAUUCUUUCUCGACUACUUCAUCCUGGUCCCACCGUAUACAGUUGCUGGACCACCAAUCUUCGGGCAGACACCAUACACUAAUUCUAAACGUAUGGCGCUCGACUUUGUUAGAAUAUUGUUCCUACUUGGUUGAACGAAUUGUUAGCUGGUGUGCAGCUCAGGAGCGACCGAGAGUGAAUUUUCUUAGAAAAUGUGUAGAGAGAGAGAGAGAGAGAGACAGAGGUAAAGAGUGCAAGCGAUAGGAAAUAAAUAAAAGAAACAAUGAGUGACAGUAGAAGCUUGAGGAAGGACUCGGUCGUUCAUUACGAUGGUAUCGUGAUUUUUCAUUCGCGAGUAAUGCCUUAAUAUCGUUUAAUAGAUACGACGCAGGAUACACUAAGGAUAAACGCAGUAUACGAGAAGAUAAUGUUUUUCAUUAAUCUUUUCAUUCUCAUAGACGUACGUCAUUUUUGGUACAAUGAAUUUUUUAAUGUUGCGAAUGAAUGAAAUUUACACCGUUAAAAAUUUGCCCAAGGAUAAUAAGACACAGGGAAUUAAUACACAUGCUUGUAAUAAUGAGUUUUACGUCAUUAAUGUGCAGUGACGGUAAUGAAUAAUUUAGAAGUGAAAUAACAAUAUUAUGAUUGAUAAAAGACAAGAUAUAUGCCAACACUACCUAAUGUAAUUAUAACGAUGAUACUUGAAGAUAACUAGUAAUGAAGCGAAUUACUCGUAAUAUUUAAAAAUAAGAAGACUAUGAUAAGGGUUUUGGUCUUUAGAGGCUAGACAAUAUUUUCAAUUUUUAAAGUAACGUUAAUUCACUUUUUUAUAUCUUCUUUCCCAUGUUAAUAACGUAGAAUGAAAAAAAGAGAUAGAUAGACAAGAGAGAGAGAGAGAGAGAGAGAGAGAGAGAGAGAGAGAGAGAGAGAGAGAGAGAGAAUGAGUGAAAGAGAAAAAAAAAGAGAUUUGGUCUUCCACCACGUUCAUUAUUACUUGUUCUACUCAUAUGAGUUGAUGAAGUUGAUGAGACGCGCCGAAAGCGGCUAUCGUCGGUCACGUAUGUAGUAUGUUUCUCACACGUGAUUUCUUCAAUAAUCUUCUAAAUAAUCCUCAUAUGUUCUGUAGACUAACGGUAAUCGUAUUAAUACUGAAGCCUGACAAUUGCAAGUAACAAGUGUGUUGAAAAUGUACUCUUUUUUUUUUUGGGAAAGUGCAAUAAAAAUAUGGGAAAUAACUGUCA